GACGAACGCUGGCGGCGUGCCUAAUACAUGCAAGUAGGACGCAGUUGCGAACGGGUGAGUAACGCGUAGGUAACUACCUAUUAGAGGGGGAUAACUAUUGGAAACGAUAGCUAAUACCGCAUACUAGUAGAUGGACCUGCGUUGUAUUAGCUAGUAGGUAGGGGAAUGGCCUACCUAGGCAACGAUACAUAGCCGACCUGAAGGGGUGGUCGGCCAAACUGGGACUGGGGAACGGCCCAGGCUCCUACGGGAGGCAGCAGGUGGGAAUCUUUGGCAAUGGGGGGAAGCCUGACCGAGCAACGCCGCGGGAGUGAAGGAGGGUUUCGGAUCGUAAAGCUCUGUUGUUAAGGAAGCGGUACUUAACCAGAAAGGGACGGCUAACUACGUGCCAGCCGCCGCGGUAAUAC
rnacentral:rRNA from 1 species